rnacentral:rRNA from 1 species
ACGGGGGGAGCAAGCGUUGUUCGGAUUUACUGGGCGUAAAGAGCGCGCAGGCGGUCGUGCAAGUCGCGUGUGAAAGCCCCCGGCUCAACUGGGGAGGGUCACGCGAUACUGCUCGACUCGAAGGCAGGAGAGGGAAGUGGAAUUCCCGGUGUAGUGGUGAAAUGCGUAGAUAUCGGGAGGAACACCAGUGGCGAAGGCGACUUCCUGGCCUGUUCUUGACGCUGAGGCGCGAAAGCUAGGGUAGCAAACGGGA